CUAAAUUACCAGAUCUGGCAAGAACUCACUAUCACCAAGACAACACCAGGCCCUGAGGGACCUGGUGUUUUGGAUCAUGACCCCAUGAUCCAAAGACAUCCUACCAGGCCCCACCUCCAGCAUUGGGGAUUACAGUUCGACAUGAGAUUUGGGCAGGGACAAGGAUCCAAACAAUAUCACCUGUUUUCUUAUAUCCCUAAAUGAUGUGUUCUUAUUAUUGCUUGUUCAUGACUGACCUUACAUUAUGCAUACAUUUGUCUAAUUUUAAAAACUGCCAAGCUGGGUGCAGUGGCUCACGCUUGUAAUCCCAGCACUUUGGCAGGCCAAGGCUGGAGGAUCUCUUGACCCCAGGAGUUCAAGACCAGCCUGGCCAACAUGGAGAAACCCUGUCUCUACAAAAAUACAAAAAUUAGUGAGUGUGAUGGUCUGCGCCUAUAGUCUCAGCUACUUGGGAGGCUGAGGUGGGAGAAUCACUUGAUCCCAGGAAGUUGGGGCUGCAGUGAAGCAAGAUAGUGCCACUGCACUCCAGCCUGGGAAACAGAGUGAGAUCUUGUCUCAAAAAAAAAAAAACAAUAAACAAAAUUGCCCGUCACCCCCACUAGAAUGCUAGAAUGAAAGCCGUGUAGGCAGAGACUUGGUCUUAUGUGCAGCUGUAUUCCUAGUGCCUGGCCAGUGCUCAGCACAGAGGAGAUCCUCAGGAAAUAUGAGAAUAAGCUUUUUUGUUUAAAUUCUUGCCCUAAACCAACAUUUUUCUUUUUUUCUUUUCUUUCUUCUUCUUUUUUUUUUUUUUUGCCUUUGACAUGCUGCUAUUCUUCCAUAUCAAAUUCAUGGCCAACUUUAUUUUUAUUUUGUGUAGAAUUGUUUUAUAACAGCAAGUGAAAAGCACAAACUCCAUUAUAGAUUGUACUUUCUUGGGAAAUGGAUUCAAAGAGGACUUUUUGGCUGGGUGCUUUGGCUUGUAGUGCCAAGCCUGCUUGUUUUUCUCAAAUCCUUUGGACUUUUCCAUGUGUUGAACAUUUUAUUUCAGUGUGUUCAAUGCUUUCACCAGCUCACUCAGUGACCCAUGUGGAAGACUGCAGCAUAUAACUUUAUUUGGUUCUGUACAUAUGACUGUUUACUAUUUACUAGAUGUCUCUACCUGAUAGCCAGGGGACAUCUCAAACUCAGUGUCUAAAAUGUAGCUCAAUCUGUCUGGCUUUCUAAACCUGCUCCUUCUCCUGCUUUUCUUAUACCAAUGAUUGGACUAAGAAUCCAUCCCGUUACCCAAUAUCUACCUGGGAUUUCAAGCCUGAGACCCAGAUUCAUUCAUGACUCCUCCCUCUCCUCUUCUUUUCCAAUCCAGCCAUCACCGAGUUGCUGCCUCUGCUUUCUAAUUGCGUCUUGAAUCUGUCCUUUAUUCUCCAUUGCUGCAACCGUAACUCGCCUCUGUUCCUUAUAACUGAUUCCUCCAAUAUUGUCCCCGCCUCCAAAUGCAUUUUCCUCACAACAGCAUGAGUGAUAACUUUAAAUGUGAAUCCAAUUAUGUCCUCUAGUUCCCUCUGCUUAAAAUCAUUCAAUGGCACCCCACUACCCUGGGUUAAAGAUUAAACACAUUUAUCUGGCCUGUUUAUCUAUCCCGUUUUAUUUCACCCCACCCACCAACUUCUUUCAGUUUCUUGAAUGUGCCUGGCCAGUACCUGGAACUUUCUUCCCCUAACCUUUAUUUGGAUAAUUUUGACCAAUCUCCUGGGCCUCAGCGCAGAUAUCAUUACGUCCAGGAAGCCUCCUUGAAGUCCUCUCUGCUGUGAGUCUACAGCACACUCUAUUUGCCCAUCAUGCAGGGCAUUGGGUAUUACAUGGUAAUUUCACUGUCAAUUAUGAGGACAGGGAUAUGUCUCUCUUGUUAAUUAUAACCUUUCCCAGGCCUAGCAUAAUGUCUGGACAAAGGAGGAGCUCAGUUCACAUUUGUCGAAUAAGAGAAUCCGUUUUGUUUCACACGCCAGUCUUCUUGCUUGCUUGUCUGUGGAACAUCUUCCACAUAUUUGCAAUUGCAUCUUCCCAGGCAAGCUUUUCUGGAUUCUCCGGUUACUGGUUUAUGCCUUGCCUCUCCUGCUAGAUUGCAUUCUCUCAGAAGGCAGAGAUUCUGACUUAUGUUUCUUAUUUCCUACACCACACAGGUAUAGCACCACACACAUAAAAGACAACCAAUGCAUUUAUUAUUGAAUUGGCUAAUUUGUAUUCAGUGCCCAUGAAUACAAAGCAUAUGCAAAUUAAUUCAAUAAAAAUAUAUUGAGCACUUUCUAUGUAUCAAUACCCCCAGCUAUUAGACUCUUAAGCAAUUUUAAAGUUCCUCACCUUGUUAAAUUCCUAACCAAUUUCAAAUAUAACAAAGCUCUUUUCCUAUAAUGUGUCUCUAGAAAAAGUGUAAUUUGAUUCAAAAUUGAAGUAAUUGAGCUCAAUGAG
rnacentral:lncRNA from 1 species